UACGUAGGGUGCAAGCGUUGUCCGGAAUUAUUGGGCGUAAAGAGCUCGUAGGCGGUUUGUCGCGUCGGCCGUGAAAUCUCCACGCUUAACGUGGAGCGUGCGGUCGAUACGGGCAGACUUGAGUUCGGUAGGGGAGACUGGAAUUCCUGGUGUAGCGGUGAAAUGCGCAGAUAUCAGGAGGAACACCGGUGGCGAAGGCGGGUCUCUGGGCCGAUACUGACGCUGAGGAGCGAAAGCGUGGGGAGCAAACAGG
rnacentral:rRNA from 1 species